UCUGGCGGCAGUAGCGCGGUGGUCCCACCUGACCCCAUGCCGAACUCAGAAGUGAAACGCCGUAGCGCCGAUGGUAGUG
rnacentral:rRNA from 3 species